UACGGAAGGCAGCAGUGGGGAAUAUUGCACAAUGGGCGAAAGCCUGAUGCAGCUAUGCCGCGUGUAUGAAGAAGGCCUUAGGGUUGUAAAGUACUUUCAUCGGGGAGGAAAAAACAAAACUAAUAAUUUUAUUUCUUGACGUUACCCGAAAAAGAAGCACCGGCUAACUCCGUGCCAGCAGCCGCGGUAAUACGGAGGGUGCUAGCGUUAAUCAGAAUUACUGGGCGUAAAGAGCACGUAGGUGGUUUUUUUAAGUCAGAUGUGAAAUCCCUGGGCUUAACCUAGGAACUGCAUUUUGAAACUGAAAUACUAGAGUAUCGUAGAGGGAGGUAGAAUUCUAGGUGUAGCGGUGAAAUGCGUAGAUAUCUGGAGGAAUACCUGUGGCGAAAGCGGCCUCCUAAACGAAUACUGACACUGAGGUGCGAAAAGCGUGGGGAGCAAAACAGGGAUUAGAUACC
rnacentral:rRNA from 1 species